rnacentral:rRNA from 1 species
AGUGAACGCUGGCGGUAGGCCUAACACAUGCAAGUCGAACGGCAGCACAGUAAGAGCUUGCUCUUACGGGUGGCGAGUGGCGGACGGGUGAGGAAUACAUCGGAAUCUACUUUUUCGUGGGGGAUAACGUAGGGAAACUUACGCUAAUACCGCAUACGACCUACGGGUGAAAGCAGGGGAUCUUCGGACCUUGCGCGAUUGAAUGAGCCGAUGUCGGAUUAGCUAGUUGGCGGGGUAAAGGCCCACCAAGGCGACGAUCCGUAGCUGGUCUGAGAGGAUGGGCAGCCACACGGGAACUGAGACACGGUCCAGACUCCUACGGGAGGCAGCAGUGGGGAAUAUUGGACAAUGGGCGCAAGCCUGAUCCAGCCAUACCGCGUGGGUGAAGAAGGCCUUCGGGUUGUAAAGCCCUUUUGUUGGGAAAGAAAAGCAGCAGGUUAAUACCCCGCUGUUCUGACGGUACCCAAAGAAAAAGCACCGGCUAACUUCGUG